UACGAAGGGGGCUAGCGUUGCUCGGAAUCACUGGGCGUAAAGCGUGCGCAGGCGGUUUUGUAAGCCAGAUGUGAAAUCCCCGGGCUUAACCUGGGAAUGGCAUUUGGGACUGCAAGGCUGGAGUUUGGCAGAGGAGACUGGAAUUCCUGGUGUAGCAGUGAAAUGCGCAGAUAUCAGGAGGAACACCGAUGGCGAAGGCAGGUCUCUGGGCAUUAACUGACGCUGAGGAGCGAAAGCAUGGGGAGCGAACAGG
rnacentral:rRNA from 1 species